AUGAAAGGAGGCAAGGCGAUGGGCCCUGAUUGUAUCCCCAUUGAGGUGUGGAAAGGUCUCGGGGACAUAGCGAUAGUAUGGCUAACCAAGCUUUUCAACCUCAUUUUUCGGGCAAACAAGAUGCCAGAAGAAUGGAGACGGAGUAUAUUAGUACCAAUCUUCAAGAACAAGGGGGAUGUUCAGAGUUGUACUAAUUACCAUGGAAUUAAGCUGAUGAGCCAUACAAUGAAGCUAUGGGAGAGAGUCAUUGAGCACCGCUUAAGAAGAAUGACAAGCGUGACCAAAAAUCAGUUUGGUUUCAUGCUUGGGAGGUCGACCAUGGAAGCCAUUUUCUUGGUACGACAACUUAUGGAGAGAUAUAGGGAGCAAAAGAAGGACUUGCAUAUGGUGUUCAUUGACUUGGAGAAGGCCUAUGAUAAGAUACCGCGGAAUGUCAUGUGGUGGGCCUUGGAGAAACACAAAGUCCCAGCAAAGUACAUUACCCUCAUCAAGGACAUGUACGAUAAUGUUGUGACAAGUGUUCGAACAAGUGAUGUCGACAUUGAUGACUUCCCGAUUAAGAUAGGACUGCAUCAGGGGUUAGCUUUGAGCCCUUAUCUUUUUUGCAUUGGUGAUGGAUGA
rnacentral:rRNA from 1 species